CGCAAGUUCAUGUCAUCGAAAUUAUCGUAGACCUCAUGCCAGGUCGACUCGAUGACGCCCUCAGGUUCCAUUCCAGCGGGACCAUCUUGAGCUAUUUCACUUCGAUCAUCCCUAUGGAACAAAAAUACACAAAACGAUGCAGCAAAACGACGACAAAGUGGUCGGUGGCGACAACGACGUUUAGCGGCAGGCAGGCGGGCGGGCCCAGCAGCAACGACGAAAACGACACUUACAUUAUCAACAAUAAAAAAUUGACUAGUUAAA